UGAUCAAAUGUAGCUUAACUGACACUUUGCCACAUUUUAGCUGCACACUAAAGCUCUAAAUACAUUUUCGUUGGCUUUGGGAAGGCGCUUCCUCGUAUUAUUUAUAUUUCAGUUUAUUAUGCAAUAUAUUUCCAACUUAUACGACCACAUGAGGAUCAUGCGCAUGCGACAAGUUUGCUCCACAUUUUGACUCUGCGCCGCCGUGCUUCACCCUCGCCCCUCGCCUCGUCACGAAGGAGUCAUCGCCAUUAGCAUCAUCGUAAUGUCGUUGGAACCGUUGCAAGAUGUUUGAACGGUCUCCGCGCUCGCUCGUCCAUUUGUGAACAAAGGAGGCCGUGAUUUUGCGUCGUAUGGGCGGCUGCAGUGUUGCGUCCCGUCAGGCCAUGAAAGAAGGAAGGAGGAUAUGAUUUUGCGUCG